CAACUACUCCCUCUGUCCCAAAUUUUUUGUCUUAGAUUUGUCUAGAUACGGAUGUAUCUAAUACUAAAAUGUGACUUGAUACAUCCGUAUCUAGACAAAUCUAAGACAAGAAUUUUGGGACGGAGGGAGUACUUU
rnacentral:pre_miRNA from 1 species